rnacentral:lncRNA from 1 species
CUUUCUACAAUGUAUGCAUUUUACUUAGAGAUUUAUCAUUUAUUGCAUGUCUAUUUCUUGGUUCUGCUUUCAAUAUUCUCUGAAGAGUUGAACCAAACGAAAGUAGAUUAGUCCCCAAACGGGUUAAGUUCUUAAUCAGUUCAUCUCACCGUCGCCGGUGAUAUAUUUUUCUCCCUCCACUUCACCAUCUCAUCAGUCCAUCCCUUCAUCUCUCUCUCCGUCACCGACUGCCGGCGACUUUUCCCUCCACCUUCCCUACUUAAACACCCUCCUCUUCUCUCUCUCCGUCACCGACUGCCGGCGACUUUUCCCUCAACUUGCCCUACUUAAACACCCUCCUCUCUCUCGCUCUUCUCAGAUCUGAAGUUCUGGUCUCCGAAAUGGACGACGUCGGCGAGAUCCAGUCACCUGUUUCAUCCUCUCCGUCCGACGGAAGAAUCUCCGUUGCCGUCGACGACGCCGCCG